CCUUAUCAAGAGAGGCGGAGGGACAGGCCCUGUGAUGCCCGGCAACCUGCGGAACAGUUGAGCGAUCUUCUGGAAGCAAGGUGCCAAUUCCUGCGGUGAGAACCGAAAGAUGAGG
rnacentral:ncRNA from 1 species